rnacentral:lncRNA from 1 species
AUAUGUUAGGUGCUAACUAUUCACAUCUUUGAUGUUUCAGAAGCUCCACCAGAAAAACCUGUACGCAAGGUCAUCCAUGAAGAAAUUGUAGAAAGAAAAGUACCAACAGAAGAAAAAUGGACCAUUUCAGAAGAAGUGGCCAUUUCAUACCACAAAGAAGAGGAAGAAUACGUGUAUUCAGAACCAGAAGAAUAUGAAGAGGAGAGCUUCUAUGUGGAAUACCCAACUGAAGAACCAGACGAAUACGAAGAAGAAAGAUUCUAUGUCGAAGUUCCAGAAGUUCCACCAGCAAAAGUUAUUGAAGUGCAUAAGAGGGAAGAAAAGAUUCUUGUUACCAAGAAAGUCGAGGCUCCACCAGCUAAAGUGCCCGAGGUUCCAAAGAAACCAGUCCCAGAAAAGAAAAAACCUGCUCCUCCUCCAAAAGUAGAGGCUCCGCCAGCUAAAGGUACAGGCUAUUAACAUCUUUACA